rnacentral:ncRNA from 1 species
CUUCUGUCCUCCCCGCACAGGAGGGCAGAGCGAGGCCACGGACGCUAUCUGCCCUGACGGCGCCCGGGGCCCGCAUCGCUCCGGGCUGCGGUGCCGAGAGGGUUGAGGGUCCCUCCCCGGCGC